AUAAGAAAGAUAAGAAAGAUAAGAAAGAAAAGAAAGAGAGAGAAACCCCUUCCACCUUUUGAUGGGUUUCUUUCUCUUUUCCCCCUCUCCACCCCUCUCCUCCCCUCUUCUCUCUCUCUUUCUCCUUAU
rnacentral:ribozyme from 13 species